UUUAACUGAGCGUUCAGUUACUUGACGUAGACCCGAAACCGGGCGACCUACCCAUGAGCAGGAUGAAGCGAAAGUAAAAUUUCGUGGAGGUCCGAACCCACGAGCGUUGAAAAGCUCGGGGAUGACUUGUGGGUAGCGGUGAAAUUCCAAUCGAGCCCGGAGAUAGCUGGUUCUCCCCGAAAUAGCUUUAGGGCUAGCCUCAAGGUGAGAGAUACGGAGGUAGAGCACUGAAUGUCCUAGGGGGUAUUGCACCUACCGAAGACUAUCAAACUCCGAAUGCCGUCAUCUUAUACUUGGGAGUCAGACUGUGGGUGAUAAGAUUCAUAGUCGAAAGGGCAACAGCCCAGAUCGUCAGCUAAGGUCCCUAAAUGUAAGUUAAGUGGUAAAGGAUGUGGGAUUGCACAGACAACCAGGAUGUUGGCUUAGAAGCAGCCACUCAUUCAAAGAGUGCGUAAUAGCUCACUGGUCGAGUGAUCCUGCGCCGAAGAUUUCCGGGGCUAAAACUUACUACCGAAGCUACGGCAUCAGUAAUGAU
rnacentral:rRNA from 1 species